rnacentral:rRNA from 1 species
UACGUAGGGGGCAAGCGUUGUCCGGAUUUAUUGGGCGUAAAGAGCGUGUAGGCGGCCAGGUAGGUCCGUUGUGAAAACUCGAGGCUCAACCUCGAGACGCCGAUGGAAACCAUCUGGCUAGAGUCCGGAAGAGGAGAGUGGAAUUCCUGGUGUAGCGGUGAAAUGCGCAGAUAUCAGGAGGAACACCGGUGGCGAAGGCGGGUCUCUGGGCCGUAACUGACGCUGAGGAGCGAAAGCGUGGGGAGCGAACAGG